GCGCUGAGAAAUCACCACAGGUAUCAAAUGUCAAAUAGUGAUGGAAAUGUGUUGCAUUGAGAGAGUGGUCCUGAAGUGUAACUGUACAGUUGAGGAAUCACAUAGCGUAGACUUCAUCAGACUUUUACUUUGAAGGGUUGUCAUUUGUGUUGCAGCUCCACCUAAAGGAGGAAUCAGGAACGACUCUUGUCUGAUGAUGUUUGUUUAAUUGACGGUCUUAUCGUCUGUUUUAGUUUAUCAAUCACUUUUCACUGAGUUAUUUAUUACAGCAUUGAUGGUUUUGCAGAGUUAUCAGCCAUGACUAAACAUUGUUCACUGCUGUGAUUAAAGCAGAUUUCUUCCUGUUACUAAUCUGUCACUUUGUCUUUUUUAAAACCUGCCUGAUAGACUCUUUUCCUGGACUCUCGUUUUCAUGCAGAUGCUCCUCAAACAGAAGAAUUGAGCUUUCUAAGGACAAUCUUCAUUAUGGAUUAAUUCCUGUUAAGCUAAAGAUCAGUCAUCAACACAGACUGCAGUGAAGCUUCAGUCUGAACACAUCUAUACUUUUUUUCUCAGUGCAUGAAAAGUCACAAUCUGACUUUCUUUUUGGAAAUCAUGAACGGUGCAUCCUCCUCUAAAGAGUGGUGGGACCACCCCUGU